CUGUAAGCCUGUGAAGGUGUACUGUGAGGUAUGCUGGAGGUAUCAGAAGUGCGAAUGCUGACAUAAGUAACGAUAAAGCGGGUGAAAAGCCCGCUCGCCGGAAGACCAAGGGUUCCUGUCCAACGUUAAUCGGGGCAGGGUGAGUCGACCCCUAAGGCGAGGCCGAAAGGCGUAGUCGAUGGGAAACAGGUUAAUAUUCCUGUACUUGGUGUUACUGCGAAGGGGGGACGGAGAAGGCUAUGUUGGCCGGGCGACGGUUGUCCCGGUUUAAGCGUGUAGGCUGGUUUUCCAGGCAAAUCCGGAAAAUCAAGGCUGAGGCGUGAUGACGAGGCACUACGGUGCUGAAGCAACAAAUGCCCUGCUUCCAGGAAAAGCCUCUAAGCAUCAGGUAACA
rnacentral:rRNA from 1 species